rnacentral:rRNA from 1 species
UGGCGGACGGGUGGGUAAUGUCUGGGAAACGUCUCGAUGGAGGGGGAUAACUACUGGAAACGGUAGCUAAUACCGCAUAACGUCGCAAGACCAAAGAGGGGGACCUUAGGGCCUCUUGCCAUCGGAUGUGCCCAGAUGGGAUUAGCUAGUAGGUGGGGUAACGGCUCACCUAGGCGACGAUCCCUAGCUGGUCUGAGAGGAUGACCAGCCACACUGGAACUGAGACACGGUCCAG